rnacentral:rRNA from 1 species
CCAGCAGCUGCGGUAAUUCCAGCUCUAAUAGCAUAUAUUAAAGUUGUUGCAGUUAAAAAGCUCGUAGUCGGAUUUUGGGCGCGUGUGAACUGUCAGCCUCUGGUUGGACGGUGCGCGCGUGCCUUUCUGCUUGGGAGCCCCAUGGUGGUUAAUUCUGCUGUGGUGGGUCACAGGCCGUUUACUUUGAAAAAAUUAGAGUGUUCAAAGCAGGCUGAUGCUUGAAUAGAUUAGCAUGGAAUAAUGGAAUAGGACCUUGGUGCUAUUUCGUUGGUUAUGGGACUGGGGUAAUGAUUAAUAGGGACAGUUGGGGCCGUUCAUAUUUCGUUGUCAGAGGUGAAAUUCUUGGAUUUACGAACGAUGAACUUGUGCGAAAGCAUUCGGCAAGGAUGUUUUCAUUGAUCAAGAACGAAAGU